UCCUAGCCCUGAUCGAACGGCAUGUCUGAGCUCUUUUUAUAUUCUUCCGCGGCGGCUUUGCCGCCGCGGAAGAAUAUAAAAAAGCGAGUAGUGAGAGCAGGAAACAGC
rnacentral:misc_RNA from 1 species